rnacentral:misc_RNA from 1 species
GAAACGGGCAUUACAUGGCCAGUGUGCACUCACCUCCCCUUCACAAGUUUUCGGCGACUCUGGCAUACGUGGGAGACAUCACCGACCCAUAGAUCUGAGGCGCAUCGCGAGAAAGAGGAAGAGGGCAAGGCACGACAGCUAAAUUGUCUGGACUGUCCCUCUGCGUCUCUCUCUCGCUGUUCCUUCACUGCUCGAGAGAGAAGAAAGACGUGUUGGGUACGGCGUUAGAGGCACACAAAGAGUGAGCGCUGAUGAAGAGCGAGGGAGAGCAGCGGCAGGUGCGGCACACGACAGAACACCUCGCGCAGGGCUCUAAAGCAGACAAGUACGGCGGAGGCGGUGAGUGGGGGGGAGGUGGGUAAGCGUGAGAGCCAUACGCACGCACAUGCAUAUAUACAUAGAUGCAUAUAUGCACCGAUACCCACCCACCUUGACCAGCCUUCUUUCUCUUUUUCUGUGCUCCUUCUCCAGUGUCUCAUAGGCUAUUCCAGCCGAGCCUCUCAACAUACCACCCAACACUUCCACUGCGCAAAUUCCAUCGCCGCGCGCUCUGACGUCGUUGCAUCCCCCCAGUGCUUGCUUCAACGGUGACCGCUGCUGCUGCAUUGUGCUCCCUGACCCACCAUACGGCGCGUGGAUGACACACAUGGGCAGGGCCGCGGACGGCUACCAACGCCUCGGCAACAACUACCCACAGGUCAUACCCAGCUCGCACUUCGCCGCCGCGUCGCCUGAUCCGGUGCUCGCCACACCGAUCCAGACUCGACCACUGCAGGGGAAUCCAUUCCAUCCACUGCUCUGGAACGGCAGCGCCACCAGUAGCACUGGGGCAGCCGGUGUGCAGCCGAGCCUCUCGCGAAAGAGCCGCACCAAGCUCACAUCGGGCGUCACAGCCGGUAGCAGUAGUGGAGCGCUCUCCUCGACUUUAUCUCUCUCAACAACCCUCUCUUGUGCGUCGGCAGCGGCAUCCGGCGAAGGGCGACUCCAGCGUCGGGUCAGCCGUGACAGGCUUGGGGCUUCUUCGACUCCGACGUCCUCGAGCACCACCGCGCAAGUCUUGAAGCUGCAGCGACCGGCGCAGAGCCGGAUGCCGCCGUCAUCCUCGUCUCCGCCUGCGUCGGUUGGCCUCACCGCUGCGGGGGCCGGCGGUGCCGUUACCCCUGCCAAUCUGGGCAGGGAGAGAAAAGUGGCGGCUGCCAACUACAACGCUCUCUUUCAGCAAGAGCUUCAGCAGCAGCAACAACAGGGUUCGGGCAAGGGGGCAUGGCCGACUCCGUCGCCGUCGCCACCCACUGGCGCGCUUCAGUAUGCGCAGUUGCCGCCCAGCGCCAGCGCAGACGUGCAUGGCACGGGGGCCCACAGCGGCUCUGGGGAAGGGAGGUCUGAAGCACUAUCCUCUUCCGUAACAGCCUCGUCAGCGCAAGCAGGCACAGUGGAGGGCCCGCUGCCGCCGGACGUGCGUCGCAUCAUUGCCCAGAGUUGCACCAGCAGCAGCAGCAGCGGAGCGGACACAAGCGCCAUCAUUGAUGCAGCAGAGCAACAGGCCCGUCGUCUCAUUAGCACCGGCCGCCGCGUGAAAGUGUAUCGAGAGGAGCUGACGGCUGCGGAGGAGGAGCGCAAAGACCUGGCCGCCGCCGUGGAGGAGCGCCAACUUGUGCGAUCCGUACUACAGAGCGAGGUUGACGACAUUAACGCCCGCGUUCAGGCUCUCUUGCAGGAACGUGCGCUUGUUGAAGCGCAGCUGCACGCGCAGGAUGACGCGGCCGCGCGUGAAGCACGCAAGUUGACCGAGGCGCAGGACCGAGUGACGGUGCUGCGAAAGACGAUUGAGGGCAUUGUGGCGGAGACUUCGGCGUCGCGGCUGAUGCUGCGGCAGCUAAUACCGUCUCUGCACAUCGAAAACUACUACUAGAGGGGGGAGAAGGGGACUGCUGAUGGAGGUGGCGGCGGCGGCGGCUUCAGGUGCACCGCCAUGGCCGUCCUCCGCGGCGAGGUCUCUCUGCUGCUGAUUGCAGAGAGACCUCACUGCACACGUCUCUGCCCAGGCGUGCGCACUUACAACGCACACGCUAACACGUCUUGUACACUGUUACUUCUUGCCUUCUCCACUCCCUCUAUAG